UACGGGGGGGGCAAGCGUUGUUCGGAAUUACUGGGCGUAAAGGGCUCGUAGGCGGCCAACUAAGUCAGACGUGAAAUCCCUCGGCUUAACCGGGGAACUGCAUCUGAUACUGGAUGGCUUGAGAUUGGGAGAGGGAUGCGGAAUUCCAGGUGUAGCGGUGAAAUGCGUAGAUAUCAGGAGGAACACCGGUGGCGAAGGCGGUGGUCUGGGCCGGCACUGACGCUGAGGAGCGAAAGCGUGGGUAGCAAACAGG
rnacentral:rRNA from 1 species